rnacentral:rRNA from 1 species
GACGAAGGGGGCUAGCGUUGUUCGGAAUCACUGGGCGUAAAGCGCACGUAGGCGGAUUGUUAAGUCGGGGGUGAAAUCCUGAGGCUCAACCUCAGAACUGCCUCCGAUACUGGCAAUCUCGAGUUCGGAAGAGGUUGGUGGAACAGCUAGUGUAGAGGUGAAAUUCGUAGAUAUUAGCUAGAACACCAGUGGCGAAGGCGGCCAACUGGUCCGACACUGACGCUGAGGUGCGAAAGCGUGGGGAGCAAACAGG